GGCUCGAUAGCUCAGUUGGUAGAGCGUCCGCCUGAAAAGCGGAAGGUCACCGGAUCGACGCCGGUUCGAGCCA
rnacentral:tRNA from 1 species